rnacentral:rRNA from 1 species
GACAGAGGUGGCAAGCGUUGUCCGGACUGACUGGGCGUAAAGCGCACGCAGGUGGCCGCGUACGUGCGGUGUGAAAGCCCCCGGCUUAACCGGGGUCCGCCAUCGCAGACUGCGCAGCUCGAGCCAUGCAGAGGUCGGUGGAAUUGCCGGUGUAGUGGUGAAAUGCGUAGAUAUCGGAAGGAACAUCAGUGGCGAAAGCGACUUCCUGGACCAGUACCGACGUUCAGGCACGAAAGCGUGGGGAGCAAACAGG